GGCAACAAAUACAUUUUAGUGCCACGAAUAUUUACUCUUCACAUUAUAGGAAAUAAAAUGUAUAAGUACUCAUCUAAUGAAAACAAUGUUAAAGUGAUAUGAAGGAGCAGUUCGUAUUUGGAGAGGAGGGAUAUGGAACACGUUGUGAGAUAAGGCUCUGUUCAUGCAUUGUUCAUUAGUGCAGCAUUCUGGGAAUGUAGAUAUGGCCUCUCAGAGGGACUCCAGCGGGACAGGACAGUGUGGCACAUUCUCCCCCAUCCCGCAGAUAACAGCGUCUGGGCCAGGACUCCUGUCAGAGCAGAAGCCUGAGCUCCGGUGGGCCUGAAGCCUGGGACUUUCCCAAGAGCGGAGCCCCCAGCGGACUCAGAGGCAGUUUGCUCAGCUGUGUGAAGCUGCUGCAGGGGAGAUAAGGCACAUCUGUGAGCUUGGGCUUUAGCGUAAUCCCCUUUCCUCACCGAAAAGACGGCGCUCAUCCACACGGAGACAGAGAGAGAGAGAGCG